AUUGAACGCUGGCGGCGUGCUUAACACAUGCAAGUCGAGCGGUAACAGGUGUAGCAAUACAUGCUGACGAGCGGCGAACGGGUGAGUAAUGCUUCGGAAUCUGCCCAGUAGUGGGGAAUAACGUAGGGAAACUUACGCUAAUACCGCAUACGAACUACGGUUGAAAGCAGGGGAUCGCAAGACCUUGCGCUAUUGGAUGAGCCGAAGUCGGAUUAGCUAGUUGGUGAGGUAAAGGCUCACUAAGGCGACGAUCCGUAGCUGGUCUGAGAGGACGACCAGCCACACUGGAACUGAGACACGGUCCAGACUCCUACGGGAGGCAGCAGUGGGGAAUAUUGGACAAUGGGGGAAACCCUGAUUCAGCGACGCCGCGUGUGUGAAGAAGGCCUGCGGGUUGUAAAGCACUUUUAGUGGGGACAAAAAGCCAGAGGCUAAUACCUUUUGGUCUUGAUUUAACCCAAAGAAAAAGCACCGGCUAACUCUGUGCCAGCAGCCGCAGUAA
rnacentral:rRNA from 1 species